rnacentral:rRNA from 1 species
UACGUAGGGUGCAAGCGUUAAUCGGAAUUACUGGGCGUAAAGCGUGCGCAGGCGGUUUUGUAAGACUGUCGUGAAAUCCCCGGGCUCAACCUGGGGAAUGGCGAUGGUGACUGCAAGGCUAGAGUUUGGCAGAGGGGGGUAGAAUUCCACGUGUAGUAGUGAAAUGCGUAGAUAUGUGGAGGAACACCGAUGGCGAAGGCAGCCCCCUGGGUCAAAACUGACGCUCAUGCACGAAAGCGUGGGGAGCAAACAGG